AGUGGCAUAACUGGGUCAAAUUGUGGUUCCAUUCUAAGUUUUCUAAGGAAUUUCCAUACUGCUUUCCAGAUUGGUUGCAUCAGUUUGAAGUCCUACCAGCAAU
rnacentral:pre_miRNA from 1 species